GAAAAUUCGAGUCCUCCACUCCUCUAAUUCCCCGCUAAAAAAAAUCCAACAAAAAAGGGAAAAUGGCAUGAACCUGGACUUGAGGAGCAUGUUGUGGCUAGAUAUUAGUAGCCACCACCACAGAUUCAAAUGAACCAUGUGCAUGGCUCAUGCACGUUAUACACAUACCUAAUUAAGGGGAGCUGCGCUAGAAGCAAUUGCUGUAGGUCUUAACAGUCAACCUGUUUGAACAAGCAUAAAAUUUCACCAAUUAAAACAGUCCUACCUCUCAUUUCAAUGACAAUCUUUUUACCUUUAUCUUUUUCUUGUUUUCCUUCUCUUUAUGUCAUAUUUAAUAAUUCAUCAAUAAAUACUCCUCACAUCCUGACCAACUGCCUCUUCUUCCUUGUUCCCAGGUCUCCCAUCUGCAACUAUCCUUGUCUAAAAAUGUCGUCUAAGGCAAGUAAGCGAGUGAGCUUCAGCCCUGAUGUCAACGAGAAGCCCAUUUUCUUUCCUAAACAAGGAGGCGGUAUCAGAUUAGCUGCAAACAGGAAGAGGGUUGCCGGAAUCUUCAGCUUUAGGCUGCCCAGAAGCUCCAAAUUUUCACCAGCAAGAAUAAUCAGGCGACUCAGUGCUAAGGUAGCCAGAGUUCUACGUUUAGUGUCUAUGAGAAGGAAGUCUUCGCGCAAGGUCUCUUCAGCCAGUUUGGCAAGAUCAAGAUCUCUUGCAGAUGCAAUAGACUCCCAGCGAGCUGAAGCUAUAGAAGAUUGUAUUGAGUUCUUAAAUUCUUCUUCCUCUAUGCAAAGGUCAAACUCAGUUUCUUCAAAUUCUUGCUAGAAUUUUUGCAAUCGAUGUAUGUAAAUGAAAGAAAACAAGUUUGAGAUUCAUUAUAGAAUUGAUCAUAACAAU
rnacentral:misc_RNA from 1 species